AAAGUCCGUAACAAGGUCUCCGUAGGUGAACCUGCGGAGGGAUCAUUACAAGUGACCCCGGCUACGGCCGGGAUGUUCAUAACCCUUUGUUGUCCGACUCUGUUGCCUCCGGGGCGACCCUGCCUUCGGGCGGGGGCUCCGGGUGGACACUUCAAACUCUUGCGUAACUUUGCAGUCUGAGUAAACUUAAUUAAUAAAUUAAAACUUUUAACAACGGAUCUCUUGGUUCUGGCAUCGAUGAAGAACGCAGCGAAAUGCGAUAAGUAAUGUGAAUUGCAGAAUUCAGUGAAUCAUCGAAUCUUUGAACGCACAUUGCGCCCCCUGGUAUUCCGGGGGGCAUGCCUGUUCGAGCGUCAUUUCACCACUCAAGCCUCGCUUGGUAUUGGGCAACGCGGUCCGCCGCGUGCCUCAAAUCGUCCGGCUGGGUCUUCUGUCCCCUAAGCGUUGUGGAAACUAUUCGCUAAAGGGUGUUCGGGAGGCUACGCCGUAAAACAACCCCAUUUCUAAGGUUGACCUCGGAUCAGGUAGGGAUACCCGCUGAACUUAAGCAUAUCAAUAA
rnacentral:rRNA from 1 species